AGUACGGCGAGUGAAGCGGCAACAGCUCAAAUUUGAAAGCUAGCCUUCGGGUUCGCAUUGUAAUUUGUAGAGGAUGAUUUGGGGAAGCCGCCUGUCUAAGUUCCUUGGAACAGGACGUCAUAGAGGGUGAGAAUCCCGUAUGUGACAGGAAAUGGCACCCUAUGUAAAUCUCCUUCGACGAGUCGAGUUGUUUGGGAAUGCAGCUCUAAAUGGGAGGUAAAUUUCUUCUAAAGCUAAAUAUUGGCGAGAG
rnacentral:rRNA from 1 species